UACGGGGGGGCAAGCGUUGUUCGGAAUUACUGGGCGUAAAGGGCUCGUAGGUGGCCAACUAAGUCAGACGUGAAAUCCCUCGGCUUAACCGGGGAACUGCGUCUGAUACUGGAUGGCUUGAGGUUGGGAGAGGGAUGCGGAAUUCCAGGUGUAGCGGUGAAAUGCGUAGAUAUCUGGAGGAACACCGGUGGCGAAGGCGGCAUCCUGGACCAACUCGUGACGC
rnacentral:rRNA from 1 species